rnacentral:rRNA from 1 species
GAUGAACGCUAGCUACAGGCUUAACACAUGCAAGUCGAGGGGCAGCAUUUCUUUAGCAAUAAAGAAGAUGGCGACCGGCGCACGGGUGAGUAACACGUAUCCAAUCUGCCUUUUACUCGGGGAUAGCCUUUCGAAAGAAAGAUUAAUACCCGAUGGUAUAUGAUUACUGCAUGGUAAUUAUAUUAAAGAAUUUCGGUAAAAGAUGAGGAUGCGUUCCAUUAGAUAGUUGGUAGGGUAACGACUUACCAAGUCUACGAUGGAUAGGGGUUCUGAGAGGAAGGUCCCCCACACUGGUACUGAGACACGGACCAGACUCCUACGGGAGGCAGCAGUGAGGAAUAUUGGUCAAUGGGCGAGAGCCUGAACCAGCCAAGUAGCGUGAGGGAUGACUGCCCUAUGGGUUGUAAACCUCUUUUAUAUGGGAAUAAUAGGUUCUACGUGUAGAAUUUUGCAUGUACCAUUAUGAAUAAGCAUCGGCUAACUCCGUGCCAGCCGCCGCAGUAACAC